ACCGGCGAACGGGUGCGUAACACGUACACAACGCACCUUCAGGAGGGGGAUAGCGGCUGGAAACGGCCGGUAAUACCCCAUAAAAUUGGUUGAUGGCAUCAUUGGUCAAUUAAAGUUUCGACGCCUGAAGAUCGGUGUGCGCCUGAUUAGCUAGUUGGUAGGGUUACGGCCUACCAAGGCAACGAUCAGUAGGGGGUGUGAGAGCAUGACCCCCCACACGGGUACUGAGACACGGACCCGACUCCUACGGGAGGCAGCGGUAAGGAAUAUUGGACAAUGGACGGAAGUCUGAUCCAGCCAUGCCCCGUGAAGGAAGAAGGCGCUCAGCGUUGUAAACUUCUUUUGGAUGGGAACAAUAACUCCUACGUGUAGGAGCUUGAGGGUACCAUCAGAAUAAGCACCGGCUAACUCCGUGCCAGCAGCCGCGGUAAUACGGAGGGUGCAAGCGUUAUCCGGUAUCACUGGGUUUAAAGGGUGCGUAGGCGGUGGCGUAAGUCAGUUGUGAAAUUCCCCGGCUUAACCGGCGGGACUGCAAUUGAUACUGCGUCACUUGAAUCAGGAUGAGGUAGGCGGAAUGUGGCAUGUAGCGGUGAAAUGCUUAGAUAUGCCAUAGAACACCGAUUGCGAAGGCAGCUUACUGGACCUGUAUUGACGCUGAGGCACGAAAGUGUGGGGAGCAAACAGGAUUAGAUACCCUGGU
rnacentral:rRNA from 1 species